GGGAUUGCCUCAGUAACGGCGAGUGAAGCGGCAACAGCUCAAAUUUGAAAUCUGGCCCCUUCGGGGUCCGAGUUGUAAUUUGUAGAGAGUGCUUCGGGGGAGACCGCGGUCUAAGUCYAUUGGAACAUKACGUCAUAGAGGGUGAGAACCCCGUAUGUGACCGUGGCUCGAGCCCAUGUGAAGCCUCUUCGACGAGUCGAGUUGUUUGGGAAUGCAGCUCAAAAUGGGUGGUAAAUUUCAUCUAAAGCUAAAUACUGGCUGGAGACCGAUAGCGCACAAGUAGAGUGAUCGAAAGAUGAAAAGCACUUUGGAAAGAGAGUCAAACAGUACGUGAAAUUGUUGAAAGGGAAGCGCUGGCAACCAGACCUGUCCGUAGGCGAUCAGCCGCUGUUCUCAGCGGUGCACUCGUUCUGCGAUCAGGCCAGCAUCGGUUUCGGCGGUCGGAUAAAGGCCCGGGGAACGUAGCUCCCUUUCGGGGGAGUGUUAUAGCCUCCGGUGCAAUGCGGCCAGCCGGGACCGAGGACCGCGCUUCGGCUAGGAUGCUGGCGUAAUGGUUGUCAGCGACCCGUCUUGAAACACGGACCAAGGAGUCUAACAUCUAUGCGAGUGUUUGGGUGUCAAACCCAUGCGCGGAAUGAAAGUGAACGGAGGUGAGAACCCUUUAGGGCGCAUCAUCGACCGAUCCAGAUGUCUUCGGAUGGAUUUGAGUAUGAGCAUAGCUGUUGGGACCCGAAAGAUGGUGAACUAUGCCUGAAUAGGGUGAAGCCAGAGGAAACUCUGGUGGAGGCUCGCAGCGGUUCUGACGUGCAAAUCGAUCGCCAAAUUUGGGUAUAGGGGCGAAAGACUAAUC
rnacentral:rRNA from 1 species